rnacentral:rRNA from 1 species
UGUUUGGGAAUGCAGCUCAAAUGGGUGGUAAAUUCCAUCUAAAGCUAAAUAUUGGCUAGAGACCGAUAGCGAACAAGUACCGUGAGGGAAAGAUGAAAAGCACUUUGGAAAGAGAGUUAAACAGUACGUGAAAUUGUUGAAAGGGAAACGAUUGAAGUCAGUCGUGUUCAUUGGAUUCAGCCGGUCUUCGGUGUACUUCCUUUGAACGGGUCAACAUCAGUUUUGCCCGGUGGAUAAAGGCAGUAGGAAUGUGACCUCUCCGGAGGUGUUAUAGCCUAUUGUCACAUACACUGGGGAAACUGAGGACUGCAGCUCGCCUUUUGGCCGGGGUUCGCCCACGUUCGAGCUUAGGAUGUUGACAUAAUGGCUUUAAACGACCCGUCUUGAAACACGGACC